rnacentral:rRNA from 1 species
AUUGAACGCUGGCGGCAGGCCUAACACAUGCAAGUCGAACGAGUGGCGGACGGGUGAGUAAUGUCUGGGAAACUGCCCGAUGGAGGGGGAUAACUACUGGAAACGGUAGAUAAUACCGCAUACCAUCGGAUGUGCCCAGAUGGGAUUAGCUAGUAGGUGGGGUAACGGGUCACCUAGGCGACGAUCCCUAGCUGGUCGGAGAGGAUGACCAGGCACACUGCAACGGAGAAGCGGCACAGACUCAUACGGGAGGCAGCAGUGGGGAAUAGUGCACAAGGGGAUGAAGCCUGAUGCAGCCAUGCCGCGUGUAUGAAGAAGGCCUGCGGGUUGUAAAGUACUUUCAGCGAGGAGGCGUUACUCGAAGAAGAAGCACCGGCUAACUCCGUGCCAGCAGCCGCGGUAAUUC